rnacentral:lncRNA from 1 species
GAAACUUCUGUUUUAUUUAUUUAUUACCUAUUUAUUAGAUGAUGUCACUUGAUUUUAUAUGCAACUGUAAAUGCUAUUAUAUUUGCUGUUUAAAAACUAUUUAAAAGAUCUAAUUUUGGAGAAAGUAUUGUAUCAUACUCAAAACAUAAAUAGCUUUAAUUUGCUAAAGAUAUUUAGUUUCUUAAGCAUUCUAAAAUUCAUCAUAUCUAUGCUUUAUUGAGAAAAUAUAAAAUGUAAUGAAGAGAAAACAAAUAAAGAAAGGCUUUUUUCCAUCUGCCCCAUAUAUCUGCCUGUACCGCAUAAACAUAAGAGAUCUUUCUAAUGGAAUACAGAAUAAAGUAACAUGUGUGGCUAUAUUAAUUUAGAAUUACUGAAUGCAUUUUAGUACAUAACCCAACUAAAUUAAUUGUGAAAGUGUAUUUUAUUUUGAAUUACUGAAUGUGUUCAAAUAAAAUUAAAAUGCAUAUUCAAAAUCAAAACAUGAAAUAUUUUUUAAAGGGUGUGUGCCAUCUUCAUCCCUCACUGAAGGUAAUGGGAGUAUUUUGCACAGCAGUGACAUGCAGUUUUAAAGAGAGUGCAUUUUCUUCUGCUGACUGGUCAUAAACCUCUUUGAAAAUCUGAGAAAAAUCCCCAUGUGAACAUUACAACACAGUUUUAGAAAAAAUUUCAGGGAUUUCUUGGACUCCCUGACGUCAAUCUGUAGACCUUUACUAAUUAUGUGCCUUACAUAAGAAAAAAAAAAAACUGAACCAAUCAAAUGCCUUGACUUUUGAAGAAACUGUAAUCCAAGAACUUCAAUGAAUUUUUGCAGAUGAUACAGUAGUUUUAAAAUAAUUUGCGAAAACUAUUGUGCUGUUUUUGUAUGUGAUUUUAUGUAAGUAGGUUUUCAAUAUUGUUUUAUUCUUUAAUUAAUUUGUUGAAAACAAAUCUACUAAAAAAGAUCUAAGAACUGUGUUUGGGCACUCUUAUUUACUUUCUGGAAAUGUGUAUUGUGCACUCUCAAUGUAAAUAUGAGCAUUUUUAAAUAGAAAAUGGAGGCUCUUGCGUUAUCAUUGUAUCUAUUAAUCCUAGAGUAAUGAUUAGCCCAGCAUAAAUUAGUGUCCUUCACAAAGAAAUAUGAGAGAAAACUAAUUAGGCUGUGCUGGUUCUAAUUAGCAAAUAAAUUCAACUAUGACAGAAUUUAAAAUACA